rnacentral:rRNA from 1 species
AACGAACGCUGGCGGCAGGCCUAAUACAUGCAAGUCGAACGGGCGUAGCAAUACGUCAGUGGCGGACGGGUGAGUAACACGUGGGAACAUGCCUUUCGGUUCGGAAUAACGCAGGGAAACUUGCGCUAAUACCGGAUGACCCGGCGACGGAAAAGAUUUAUCGCCGAAAGAUUGGCCCGCGUAGGAUUAGCUAGUUGGUGAGGUAACGGCCCACCAAGGCGACGAUCCUUAGCUGGUUUGAGAGAACGAUCAGCCACACUGGGACUGAGACACGGCCCAGACUCCUACGGGAGGCAGCAGUAGGGAAUCUUGGACAAUGGGGGAAACCCUGAUCCAGCCAUGCCGCGUGAGUGAUGAAGGCCUUCGGUUGUAAACUACUUUCGCGCGCGGCGAUAAUGACGGUAGCGCGAGAAGAAG